UGGAGACAGGCGGCUCAUUCUGGCGCCCGACGCAUCUGAUUGGCUGUUCAGCAGCGCGUCUGUGAUUGGUUCACUUCGCCUCCCAUCUCUCUCUAGCUCUCGAUGACGUCAUUUGUAAACAAAACCUGGCGGGAACGGCGCGGGAUAUCAUAGCAGAGACUGCUCAACAUAGACUCAUUCAUUUCCCGGCUAAUAUCAUUGUCUCCUUAGACAUUUACAUUACUCCACAUAGUGUGAUGCAGUGCCUACACGUUCUACAGUAGUAAUACCACCGCGGCACCGCCACAACGGUAGAGAGGGAUGACCUGAUGCCGCUAUCCCGACAUGGUAUACCUCCACCACAGCCUGUAACAGUGGCUGUUCAUCUUCACCCACACCUGAUCCACAUUAGCUGACCUGUUGGAUGGUUCUACUGCUCCCAGCCUGGCUUCCAAAGCAGUCAACCUUACCAGGACCUUCUUACAAAGUCCAGCCAUCUACAACAAAGGUCCACAUGUAACCUGAAGCUGUACCCGCUUACUCCAUCUUUGGGCUCUAGAGGCUGUGGUGUCACAGCCUGCACAGCCACACCAAAACUCCAAGAAGAAGAAGAACAUUGACUUAACAAUGGCAGGACUGGAUAAUCACAGUCAAAGUAGUACUGUUAUGAAUCCUCACGCUCAUGUAUUCGUGAAGUGUAAUUUCUGCAACAAAGACUUCACCAAAGACUGGAGCAGGAAAAGACAUGAAAAGAAAGUUCAUGGUGUAAACACCACAGACAACUAUGAAGUGGCAGAGAUAACAGUUCCUGAUGCUUCAAAAGUGUGCACUUACUGCGAUAAAGUUUUUUCCACCUCCUGUAACAAACGAGCUCAUGAACGUCGACAGCAUGGUGUGAACCCUGGCCCUGUAUCCCAUUCAGAUGGCCCAACUAUUGUGCAAUGUACAGAAUGCAAUGUGACUUUUGCUACCCUUACUGCUUACAGGGAACACCUUUCUUUAGUCCAUGACAUUGAGAUUCACAAAGCUCAGCAUGAGUUUACUUCUGAGGAAGAUUUCUUGAGAUGGAAAGACUGUAUGGAACUGGACAUU